rnacentral:misc_RNA from 1 species
GAAAUGCGAUAAGUAAUGUGAAUUGCAGAAUUCCGUGAAUCAUCGAAUCUUUGAACGCACAUUGCGCCCUCUGGCAUUCCGGGGGGCAUGCCUGUCCGAGCGUCAUUUGUACCCUCAAGCUCUGCUUGGUGUUGGGUGUUUGUCCCGUCUCCGCGCGUGGACUCGCCCCAAAGUGAUUGGCAGCCGGCGUACUGGUCCCGGAGCGCAGCACAUGUCGCGCAAACGAGUGCCUUGGUACGGCGGCGUCCAUAAGCCCCUCUCUCACGCUCUUGACCUCGGAUCAGGUAGGGAUACCCGCUGAACUUAAGC